AAGAGGAAGUCACCUUGUGAUAAUCUGGUCAUUGGGAAAGGCACAGAGAUAAGUCGAGCUAUACUUCUUACAUUAAAUACAUUUUCGUGGAUGUUUGAUGAGGGGCCAGAAAGUGUUACCCAAUGAACCUCCAUGGUACCAAAUACAAUCAAGCUUGUCCCAGGUUUCUACUGUACAAUUUCUCAUUGAAAACUGCCUCAGCAUUUUUUAAGAAGACAUCACUUCCCCCUUGGGGAAGAAAGAACUCAAUGACUUGAAGAAACUGAUGCUUCAGGUACCUUGAAAAAUUCAGCUGGUUUUGAUGAGAAACAGUCAAUGGGGCUGUUAGGGGUCCUGGCGGAUGCUUAGGCAGUGGCUGUCCUGGAUUCCAGGGAAUGCCCCAAACCCAGUGAUGCAGGACCCAGGACUCCAUCUGCUCAUUCUUCAUAAGGUUGGCUCACAGGUCAUCUGCUGAGAAGGUCAUCUUCUCCGUCUUCACUGGGCUCACUGAAUGAGGACAUUCCAAGAUCCCAGCUCAUCUCAUUUGAGCUUUCCUUUUCCUAAUCCCAUGCAUCUGUGUUUGAGAAAAUCUUCCCAAGUGAUAGAUCUUCUAUUUUCCGAUUUCUU
rnacentral:lncRNA from 1 species